UGGGGAAUAUUGCGCAAUGGGGGAAACCCUGACGCAGCAACGCCGCGUGGAGGAAGAAGGUCUUCGGAUUGUAAACUCCUGUCUUCCGGGACGAAUAAUGACGGUACCGGAGGAGGAAGCCACGGCUAACUACGUGCCAGCAGCCGCGGUAAUACGUAGGUGGCGAGCGUUGUCCGGAAUUACUGGGCGUAAAGGGCGCGUAGGCGGUUUUUUAAGUCAGAUGUGAAAACCCGGGGCUUAACUCCGGGAGUGCAUUUGAAACUGAAGAGCUUGAGUGCAGGAGAGGUAAGUGGAAUUCCUAGUGUAGCGGUGAAAUGCGUAGAUAUUAGGAGGAACACCAGUGGCGAAGGCGACUUACUGGACUGUAACUGACGCUGAGGCGCGAAAGCGUGGGGAGCAAACAGG
rnacentral:rRNA from 1 species